GCCGCCACCGCCUGGGGCGGAAGCGAGGGAGAGCGGCGGCCGGUGCUGCGCCGCGGGGAGCGGGCAUGGCGGACGGGGCGCGCUCGCUGCGUGGCGGCAGCCCGGCCUCCAGCCCGGUGCUGGGCGGGCGGGGCCGCUCCGCGGGGGCGGCGGCGGCCGGGGGGAGCAGCCCGCCGGGCCACAGCUUCCGCAGGGUGACCCUCACCAAGCCCACCUUCUGCCACUACUGCACCGACUUCAUCUGGGGGCUGGCCGGCUACCAGUGCGAGGUUUGCAACUUCAUGUCUCAUGAAAAGUGCCUCAAGAAUGUCAAGAUACCAUGCUCGUGUAUUGCUCCCAGCCUUGUAAGGGUUCCAGUUGCACACUGUUUUGGGCCCCCAGGACAUUACAAAAGAAAGUUUUGCACUGUGUGCAGAAAGUCACUAGAGUCACCUGCCUUUCGAUGUGAAGUUUGUGAGCUACACGUGCACACAGACUGUAUCCCGUUUGCUUGCAGUGACUGCCGGCAGUGCCAUCAGGAUGGGCACCAGGACCAGGACACUUACCACCACCACUGGAGGGAGGGAAACCUUUCUUCGAAUGCUCGUUGUGAAGUUUGCAAAAAAACCUGUGGCUCUUCUGAGGUGCUGUCUGGCAUGAGAUGUGAAUGGUGUGGCAUCCUGGCUCAUGCUGCUUGCUAUGUAAUCGUCACACCAGAAUGUACUUUUGGAAGACUAAGGAAUAUGAUUCUUCCUCCAAGCUGUGUGCAAUUAUUUUCUCGCAACUUCAGCAAACUGCAUUGUUUUCGAAUAUCAGAAAAUUUGCAAACAGAAUCAGAUGAAGAUGAUGAUGUUGAUGGGUCAACACAGGGAUCAGCAAAAGAUGUCCAAAUUUCAACAGAUUCAAGUAAACAAACGUUAAAGAUAUUUGAUGGGAAUGAUGCAGUGAAACGCAAUCAAUUUCGACUGAUUUCAGUUCCAAGGAUUGCAAAAAAUGAAGAAGUUGUGGAGUCUGCUCUGAGGGCAUACUACAUCAAUGAUGAGCAGCAGGAGUACGAGCUCCAGACCUUCACGCAGCAGGCGCUGCUGUCUGAUGAUGUUAUCAACAGGAACGAUGCUGCAGAGGACAGCAACUUGGGCUCGGUAUUCCGAGAAUCUGUUCCUGAAGCUUGGAUCAUCAGAGCCAAACCAAAGGAUGAGGAAGUGAUCAGAAUUUAUCCUGCCUGGCUGAAGGUGGGAAUGGCAUACGUCUCUCUACGAGUAAAUAAGAGUAGCACUACGCAGACUGUGAUUGAAGAAGUGCUUCCAUUACUUGGAAGGCAGACGGAGUGUCUCCAGAAUUUCAAAUUGGUGGAAGUGCUUAUGGGCAGUAAGCAAGUUCAGCGCAUGGUCUUGGACAAUCAGGAACUGAUUCUUAAUAGACUCAAGGACAUAAGAAAGACUUCGAUACGUCAGAUGAAUCAAACAAGAUUUUACAUUGUGGAAAACAGUGAAUCAAUUGUACGAGUAAAUUUAUUUGUUGGUGGCCUUCCACCUCAGCUUUCCCCUGAAGAAUACACAAAUAUUCUCAAGGAUGAAUUAGCUAUCAAAACAAAUGUAGUAUCUGUGAAACAUGUUUAUCAAGCACAAGGUGCUGUUGUACUCGAAAUUUCAUGCUUUUCUGAAGCUGAAAGGAUAUAUAUGCUAGUUAAAGAUACAACUGUCAAUGACAAGCCUCUGAAUGCUGUGGUGGUUCCUGAAGUUAUGGCUUCCAAGAUACCACAGAACUGCUGCCCACUUCUUGUGUUUGUGAAUCCAAAAAGUGGUGGUCUGAAGGGUCGGGAUCUGCUGUACAGUUUUAGAAAGCUGCUAAACCCACAUCAGGUCUUUGAACUCACCAAUGGUGGCCCACUGCCUGGGUUUCACACGUUUUCUCAAGUCCCCUCGUUCCGAGUGCUGGUGUGCGGAGGGGACGGCACCGUGGGCUGGGUUCUUGGUGCGCUGGAGGAGAUCAGGCACAAGCUGGUGUGCUCAGAGCCUUCAGUUGCCAUCUUACCUUUAGGAACAGGUAAUGACUUGGGGAGGGUCUUGCGCUGGGGAGCUGGAUACAGUGGGGAGGACCCCUACUCGAUCUUGGUUUCCGUGGAUGAGGCAGACGACGUUCUCAUGGAUCGCUGGACUAUCCUUUUGGACGCAGAAGAGCCAGUUGAAGGCGCAGAGAAUGGUGUUGCAGAACCUGAGCCUCCAAAGAUUGUACAGAUGAACAAUUACUGUGGUCUUGGCAUUGAUGCAGAGUUGAGCUUGGACUUUCAUCACGCCCGAGAAGAAGAACCAGGGAAAUUUAACAGCAGGUUUCACAACAAAGGAGUUUACGUCAAAGUUGGGCUGCAGAAGAUAAGUCAUACCAGAAACCUUCACAAAGACAUAAAGCUUCAAGUGGACCAGCACGAGGUGGAGUUACCAAGUAUAGAAGGGCUCAUUUUCAUUAAUAUACCCAGGAAAGCUGUGCCGUGUCAUCCGGCUGGUGGGGAGCAGAGUGUCCAGCUCUUCAAGUCUGAUGAAGCAGCCACCACUCGCAGGGCUCGGGGCAGGGCGCCCUGGGUUCCCGUGGCAGGGUCAAGUCCAAGGUGGUUUUCGAUCAGGAAUCCGCAUAGCCCAAGGCUCAUAUUUUCGUGUAACACUCCUAAAGCCAAUUCCAGUUCAAGUUGAUGGAGAGCCCUGGAUUCAGGCCCCUGGCCAGAUUAUUAUUUCUGCUGCAGGACCAAAGGUCCACAUGUUGAAAAAAUCCAAGCAGAAGCAGAAAAAAACUGGAAGCCUGAAAGAGAUGAGAGUGGAUAGCGUGUCAGUGUCUGAAGGAGGACGCUAAGUGACGGCCUGCGCUCAGCAGCGAUGCAGCACACCCACUACCGAGAUAGUUCAGUAAAACCGAGUGCAGACAGCUGGUGAAGAGGGUUAUGAGUGUGCCUUUCAUUACAUUUUGAUAGUACUGGGUUCUACUUCAUUUUUCAAAGAUAGUGCCUCAUUGUUACAAAUAACUAUUACGUACCACUUGUCUCCUCCAAAAUGUUUACUUUGGGUUGAUUUUCCGUAAGCCGUUCUCCAGUUUUUCGUGUAUAUAGAAACUGAGGCCAAACAGAGAUUCCAAAAUGCUGAGAUUCGUGCAUCUACUUUCACAAAGACUCUUCUCCUUCUCCCAGCUUUUUUUUUUAAGAAAAUAAUUCCAUAUAUAAAUUUUGGUGCAUUGUUCCAUAAGUGAAAAUGUGUUCCUUAAAAUUACUGCCUACCAACCAAAAAAAGGCAAAGACAUGAGCUGCUGAGAGCUCCUUAGAUCAGUCCAAAUAGCACGACUGAAACAGUACUACUGUAAAGAGAAAAAUAGAAAACACAGGAGAGGUUAUUUCUAUAAAAGGAGCCCUGUGCACUGUGAAGAGAGAAAGUACUAGAAUAACUGAGUCAAAAUAUUUCAGAGAGUUUACUUCAACAGUAUUUGGACAGUAUGAAUGAAGGGGAAACAGCUUGUAGAGCAAGUUGUCAGCUGCAGCUUAGUUUCUCCUGUAUUAUUCAGUAAAAGCCUAUUUCAAAAGACAUUUGAAUUUUAUGUUAGACUGGUAGCUGCUAAAAAAGGAACAAGAAUACCUGAGGCAGUAUUACAUUAUACUGAUCAUUUUCUAUCAUUGAAACCAUUAUCUUUGACACCAGCCUUUUCUUCUUAACUUGUGCAGUUUAAUUUUCAUUAAUUUUUCACAGUUGGAUUGUAAUUUAACAGCAUGCUCAAAGACUAAAAGAAUAACCACUAAUUACAGUAAGAGAAGAACCAUUUGGUGUUCACUUAAGUAAAUCAGCACAGUCUUAUGUUAGAGCUGAACUGAAGUGCAGUGUAGCUUCCCUGAGGAGCCUUAGGAGGUGUUGAAGCCUGUAGUGUGCAUGUAACAUACUGUAGGCUUCAGAUAACUGGGAAUGCGAUAGCUGCCACAAAAACGCGCUUACCUGACCAGCCUUCUCAAGCCCUUGGGUGGGUGCUUGUAUCAGGUGUGUGCCCAGGGACACAGUGACUGUCUUUUCUCACUUGGAUGAGUGUGUGCUCUGCAGAGGCUGUUCCUCUGUCAGCUCCUGUGAGACCAGUUUCACAUCUCUGUGCUCACCCAUCUGCUGAAGAUGAGGGGAUCCGGUACUUCCCUCACAGCUUCCUGCCAGGCGCUGGAGCAGACGUGCUGGUCCUGUCACACACUGCGUCUGCUGCCCAUGGCCAUAGUUGGUCUUCACUCACAUCUCUGCUUGGUCUGAUCUCACUGUGGUUCUCCAAUGACUGAACCUUUCACUUCAGAUGAACAUCACACGCAAGAGGCCCCCUGAGCCAGCUCUGGUGCAGGGAGCCGCAUGGUUUUGCCACUUGUAUGCAUCUGCUGGCUGCAGCUGCUUAAGCUGUGUUGGACAGAGCCCGCUUAGCAGCCACUGGGCUUGCUUUGCCCACUGUUGCACAGUAAUACUGAAUUCAGCUGUGUAUGACGUGGAUUCAUCACUCAAGUGGCAGCUUUAGGAGCAUUCCUCCUGCCAGUGUGUCUAGAAAAACACCUUCAGGGGACUUCAGUGUAACUUUGAAAUACACAAAAGCCAUUUUGUGUUGAAGCCAAUUGUGUGCUGAGGCAGCUCUUGCUGGCUCUUGUUGAUCAGCCUGUACUCUAAGCACUGUGCCAGCUUCAGCAAUAUCUCAUCAUUACCUGUGCUUUCUACUUUCCAGUGAGUUCCUAGUGCUCUAAUAGAGAUGCAUGUGGAGGACUGACUCCUGUUUUCAGUGAAGCCUGUUAUUUUUUUAAAUUGUUAAUUUAAUUUUAGAGGCAUUCUAAAGGUACCACCACGUGAACUACAACUUAUCUUUUUAUUCAAUCUGCAAACUACACUCCAACUAUGAAAAAGACAGUGUGUGAAUAGUACCAAGCUAAAAUCGUCUCUUGAUCAUUAAGGGCAAGGGUCUCUGUUUCAGAACCUGGGUAUGAAGGAUCAGCUGGAGCUCCUCUGGUAUCCUGGUACCAGCAUUACAAGUAGGAAGGGUGAAGUGUUGUAUUUCAGGGUGGGCCCUCAGGAUGAAGCCCACAAAUUAGAGAGGAAAUCUGAAAUAGAUUGCUGCUUGUAAUUGUCCAGGAAGCCAGAGAAACUGCUUUGUGUCCUCGGGGCAGCAGAAAGAAUGCAUGGUCUGCUUUCUAAUUGCUGACUCAGCAGUGGAGAGCAAAACUUGACUUUUUAUUACAGAAAACAUGCGUAAGCUUUAAGACUGACUGUCUUCUACAGCCCAAGUAAAUAAACCUGUCAUACUGUUUUUCCAGACAUAUAUCACUCUGCAGCCUGCAGCUGACAGUGUUUCAUGUUCUUGGCUCAUAAUGGCUUGGCUGUAUCUCCCUAUUGCUCAAUAUCUGUUAUCUGAAGUAAUAUGAAACUCCCCGGCCACAGUAUUUUAAUCAGAGGGCCCCUUACUGUGGCAUAUAGUUCCAAGGGGAUUUUCCAUCCCUGGCAUCCUGCAGGAGCGUGUCUCAGGGUAGUGCUGUGGUAGCAUGAUGACACAGCUACGAGUGCGAUCUCUCAACUGCCGGAGGGGAUCCUGGUGGAGGACAGAUGGGCUUGGAGUUUUCUUUUUUCUUUCCCUUUUCAUUUCCAGUAACCAGUUUCCACAUGUUGUCUGGGUACGUUAGUGUCACACUGGAAUGAAAAUGUAUCGUAAGAAAAACACACUUGGCACUUAAGGUCUCUCUCAUCAAGUCCUUCUUAAUGUGUUCCUUUUAAAAGAAGGAACUCACCAUUUAACCCCUCUAUUAAGGUGUUCCCAUUUCUGGUACUAUAUUAUUUUUUUCUGACAUUUUCAUCAUACAUAGUAUCUGAGAAGGCUCAGUGUUUUCUUCUAUAGUAUGUAAGACUUCCUUGAAGAGAGGAGAUAACUCUCUGCAGUUAAGAUAAAACAUUUUGACUUAGCUUUUACAUUUAAGAAAGCAAUGCGGUAUAAUGUACAUGAUAGUGGGCAGAUAAAUGAUUCUCUGAGUCUUUAAGUAACACUGCCUGAGGACCUAGUGGUCACACAGCCAAGGGCUUUAAUACAAUAACAAGUGUAGGGGAAGAGGCUCCGUUCUGUCUAGACACAUGUUAAUCAACAUCAGGGACACAGGGACCAUAAUCUAGAGAGGGAGGAAAUGCAGGCUCAUUGUUAUCCUGAGCACACUCAUCAUCAUCUCUCUGCUGCCCAGCCUAUUUACCCUGCCUACAAACCACGGCAGGCACAGCGAGCAUCCCCGCAGCUCCACUGCUGAGACGUGCUCCUGACCUUUCGCUAGUGUCCCACGAGGCUUUGCCAGCAUGGGGGAGAGAAGAGUCCUGAAAAUCGUGGUGCAUUUCACAUACCCACUAUUGCAGACACAAGAAGGUGGUCAGUUGGUUAAAAUCUGUUUGGCUGGGUGAACACAUUACCUCUGUCUUCAGUUAGGAGAACUGAAAUUCGAAGGCUCAUCCCUGAGACACAGGUGCUACUUCAGAAAAUUUGCUGCUUCUUCCCCCAUGGCUUUUACACUUGAUUUGUAUAGUUUAAAUUGCUGAUGUUUUCAUUGCGUUGAUUGAGUUAUUUUGCCAAAACUUCUUGUUUAUUUAUAUGUGUGUGUGCACAUGUAUGUGUAUACAUACCUGUGCACACAACCUUUAAAAACAGUCCAUAAUGUGUUUCCUUUCACAGUGCCUACUUGUACAGGUUUUGCUGUGUUACAGCAUCCUGACAGCACUCACUUCUGGAUCUUUGUCUCACCAGCUUUGGACAGGACACAGAGCUUGUAUGUAUUUCUAGUGGACAUGUGCUUUCCAACAAGACAUGAUGGCAAUAUAGCGAAAGCACAACUGUGUUUAGAGUACAGUCUCUGCACGUGUACAGUUUGAGCUCUUCUUUCUCUUUUUAGAUUUUAGUCAAGUCUGUGUGUCUAAAAUCAGUGACAAUGGCUAUUGUAGCAUUUUAAAAACUAGAAGAAGCUGUAGCAUAGUCCACUGCAAGACUUCAAUAAGGAACAAAACUAAGUGAACUGUUAUAGACAAUUGUUCAUUAAUCUUCACAGUUACCCUCUUCCAAGUAUUGUACAGAUGGCAUUUCUUCAAAAAGCAAAUAAUGUACUUGUUUUGAAUAUCAGCUGUUUGGAAUUGCUAAGCAUUUACGUGUGCAUAUGACUCUGUGGCACAGUCAUUAUCAAAUACAGCAUCAUUUUGUGGGAGGAGAAGGUAAGAUGAGCUGUUGUGACACUUACAGAUUUAUGUUGAACACACAACAUGUUCAGCUGCACAGGUAUUUCAGUCUGCACUGGUACCUGUUCUUACAACCUUCAUACUAAUUGCGCAUUUUUCUGCCUUCCUGCCGUUUGAGCCCACCUUUCUGCUGAAACUGUUAACAAAGGCAAGAGUAUGUGGUGGUGAAUAUGUGUGGUGAGUGGGGGAAUGGAAUCCUGCUCUAAAACACUGCUGGGGCUGUUGGGCUUAGACUGUUCAUUAAUCUCUACUUCAGCUGUUUAACAGCUGUGCAGCAAAGACUCACCAGCUGCUGAACUACCUUGGAUUCAUGGUGACAGUGUUGCCUCAUUUUCAGGCUUUGACCUUGUAUGCACCAGUAUGUGUAUCACUUCAUAUACUUUUUGCACUUAACAUAAAAUGCAGGUUGGACAGGCUUAGGUUGUGGCAACAUUGCAGUGUUUGUACUUUUUUUUGUAAAUAUGGGGAUGAUUCUACAGAUACAAAGAUGCACUUUCCGGUAAUGAUAAAACAAGUUUGUAGAAUGCAACUGUUUAGGAGUUCCUCUGACUGCAGCAUUCCUUAAUCUCCAUCCAUCUCUAGUACUGUGUUCUUGAAAGUCUGCUUGGGAAUGAGAGAUGGUAUCUUCCUCCCAUUGCAGUAUGUAUUUAUAGCUGACUGGCUGAAAGUUCAUAUAUAUUUUUAAACAAUUACAAAUUGGCUGCUAAGAUUUAGGUUUAUUAGACUGAUUUUAUAAUGCAUAAAAGUAAUGUUAAAGUUUUAUUUAUAAUGUCAACAUUUACUGAUUUGACACUUGGCUUGUAGGAGAGAUCCAACUCAAAGCCUUCGUUCCUUUUGCUAUUUAAUGGUUUGGUUUUUGUUGGGGGGUGUUUUUGUUUGUAUUUUUAUUUUUACAGUGUAGCCAUUAUAUGUAUGGAAUGCAGUGAAAUGAAUGCAAAUUACUAACCUUAAUCUGCAAUUAGACCAGGAUUUUCAGUGUUUACAGGACAGUGACUAUUGAUUGUAAACCCAUACAUGUCAGGCGAAACAGUGCACUCUUUCCAUGUUUUGGAAGCAUUGUUUCUGCUUCCCAUGUCAAUUAAUGAAAUAGCUGCCUUUUGGUUUAGAUUCCUGGUUAUGUCCCUUUGGAGAGACUUAAAUGUGGAUGAUGAUUUUUCUGCCAUAAUCUCAUAGGACAGAAUUUCUACUGAUACGAGUGUUGUAUUCAACAUGUUUUUGAAAGAUUGACUUUAUUUUUUGUGAAGGUAAUUUAUGAGAAUAUUUUAUAAGCAGACCAGUGUUGGUGAAGAAGUUGGUCUGAAGUCUUGAAAUACAUGUGUGUAGAUAUUUAAGAUGUAUCCCAAACCAAAGUAUUUUUUAAUAGGGCACUGUUACUACUGAUAGUAGUUAUCCCUCUGAGCUCUCCUAACAACACACCCAUUUAACAUGUCACUGUGCACACACAGCUCAAGUGUGAUUUGGGAGAUGACUUUGAUUCCAGAAGAUGUGGCUUCAUGUAUAUUGUGUGUAUCCCAUAGUACACCUCUGGCAGCAACUUCUAAUACAAAAUCUGGUGUAGAAGGCAGAGUUUUUCUCUCAUACAAAUUACUGUCAUUUAAAGAGCAGAGAGCCUGCCCUUGCACUUGAGUGCAGGAAUGUUCCAAGUCUGGUGACUGAUGGGCUCUUACAGUCCCCUCCACUGUCCACAGGGUGAGUCCCAUGUCAGUCCUUCUGCUUUCUGAAGGAAGGAAGGUGCAAAUCAAUGUGCCUGUGUCAAGCAGUUAACAGCUUGCCUCGCCAUGGCAUCCCUUUCUUUGUGCUGCUGAUCUUGCCAAAUUGGGUAGCAAGAGGUGCUUGAAGAAUUACUGAGUAUUUAUUGUGUAAAUUUAGGUGCUUAUAAAGCCUUCACUGCUAUUUUAAAGCAAAAUUUUGGGGAUCUGUAGCAUAGCAAUAGCUGUAUAACUCAAGCUUUCUGAACAUGCCAAAAGCAAGUUGUCCUUGGCAUAGUUUAAUUAGCAAUGGUGUAGAUAAUAGCAAUCAAUACCUUGAAGCUGCAAGUUCUGAUUAUUGGAAGAGAGCAACUCCACUUUGAAUGCAAAGCAUCACAGAGUUUGUAAUUCACUAUAAAUUUUCAUGUCCCUCCUACUUAUGGGCCAUCCGUGACAUUUUAACUCUUCUCAAACUAUUGCUUAACUAUUGCUUAAAUAACUUUGUUUUUCACCUCUGGUUAUUUAAAUCAUCCAAUAUCAAACAGUUUCAUGAAAUGCUAAUUUAAUAUCAAGAUACUUUAAGAUGUCUUAUAGCAUUUCUUGUGAAUGUUGUAAUACAUUGGUUAUAAAUCCUCUUGGCCCAACAAGCUAAGGUAAGCUGACCACUGAACAGCUUAGUUAUUGUCUAAUGUUUAUUCUUUGUGCAUCUGCCUAAUAAUUCUCAGAAUAAAAGCCUAAAUACAAGCAUUGAAGUGGUUGAAAACUGUUUCCACAUUGUGUGCCUCAAACCAGUAAUGACUUAUCACACAUUUACUUGUGGAUUGGUCUCAGAAACAGGCUUCUAAUAACGUGACUUGUUUCUAAAUGUCUGCCUUGCAAAUCACUAUGCUGUGGUAACUUGUCUACAAGUAACAUACCUAGUGUACUAACUGGUUUAAAAAAAAGAUAAUUUAUAAAAGAUGGACUUUUAUUAUUUAAACAUCUGUUUGUCCUUCGGUUAUGUUCUUAGAACAAUUCUGUAUAUAUUUUGCAAUAUGUGUUUUGUGUUUAAUUUGAUUGUACAUUUUGCACUUAUUUGACAUUCUGUAUUCUAAGUAUUAUUUACAAGUUCCAGAGUUCUAUAACUAGAAUUUGUCUGUGAAAAAUACAACAUCUCUUCUACCCUGGA